rnacentral:rRNA from 1 species
GACGAACGCUGGCGGCGUGCUUAACACAUGCAAGUCGAACGGGAUUUAGUAGACAGAAGCCUCGGCUAAAGAUUACUAAUGAGAGUGGCGAACGGGUGAGUAACGCGUGAGCAACCUGCCUAUGACAGUGGGAUAGCCUCGGGAAACCGGGAUUAAUACCGCAUAAAAUCGUAGAAACACAUGUUUCAACGGUCAAAGAUUUAUCGGUCAUAGAUGGGCUCGCGUCUGAUUAGCUAGUUGGUGAGAUAACAGCCCACCAAGGCGACGAUCAGUAGCCGGUCUGAGAGGAUGAACGGCCACAUUGGAACUGAGACACGGUCCAAACUCCUACGGGAGGCAGCAGUGGGGAAUAUUGCACAAUGGGGGAAACCCUGAUGCAGCGACGCCGCGUGAACGAAGAAGGUAUUCGUAUCGUAAAGUUCUUUCCUAUGGGAAGAUAAUGACAGUACCAUAGAAGAAAGCUCCGGCUAAAUACGUG